AGGCAGGAAUGAUCAUCAACCCACAGUGGGCUAUCCAUACGUGAGUGAGCCCAACCAAGAAGAACAGAGCAUCUCAACUGAGCCCAGCCAAGGUGAACCAAACCUCAGCAGGUUACGCACAGGUAAUGAGCCCAGCCAAGACCAGCAGAUCAGACUAACUGAGCCCAGCUUGCAUCAGCCAAGCCCUCAUUGAUCCACACACUCAAGAAAAAUAAUCUUUGUCAAAACCUGUGAGGAUUCCACACAUGGAAAAAAAUGAAGCAAAUAGAGAUGAAAUAAGUUAAGUUCACAUAAUUUGUGAAUGGCAGAGCUGGGAUUCCAAGCUAAGUCUCUCUUGAUCCAAAGUUGUUCUUUUUCUUUGAUACCAUGUUUACUUCAUUCAUAAUCUAGGACUCAGAAAAUAAUCAGUUCCAUAUUCCUAGCUAUUUGAGGCAAGUUUGACUUAAAAUGUGCAUACAAUUUAAUGGUGAUGAUGGCAAUGAUGAUGGUGAUGAUGAUAUCGAGACUCAAUAUCAAACAGAUGAAAGAGGGACAUAUUGCCAACAACCAGAGCUAAGAUGUUGCUGCAAGUGAACGUGGAAUUCAGCUCUGGAAUAUCAAGGGGAUGCCAUUGAUGCGGUGGUGUGUCAUCCAAAUAUUCCCUUCAGAAUCAAAGUGCCCAUUCCCCCGACUACUAGGAAUGCAAGACUGCUAACCUCUCUCAGCUCAGCCUCCCUCUGAGCACUUCCGUCAGCUGAAGAGAACCAGUGUGUCCACGGUCAGCCUCCUUCCUUUGUAUAGCCCACUCCCAAGGACUGGUUAAUAUGGAGUAUUAUAUUUUAUAGUAGAGAAAAGUAUAUCCCACACCCAAGGCCUGGUUAAUAUGGAGUAUGAGGACAAUUAUUCUUUGGGCAGGAGGAGGGGCCACAAGCUGCUGAGUUCUGUAAAAAAUCAGUCGAGUACUGUGUUCUGACUGGACCUCUUACGUCUUGCCUCUCUGCUUGGUCCUGCUGUUCACCUUAAAGCACUGCAUUGUGUAUUUCCUAUACACAAAUCAGUGACUCGCUGUCUAUUUCCCAGGAAACCUGAAUUGCAGUAUGGGAUGAGACAUACAUCUCUGCCCUGGCAGCCCCCUCAGUUAAUUUCCAUAUUUCUAAGCAGUUUCCAGAGAUUUGUCCAACACUGAUUAUAGAAUCAGUAAAUAUAUUAAGACGUAAUAAAUAGCAGGAUUACUUUCAUAUGCAUCA